GAACGGCAGCAUGGGUGCUUGCACCUGAUGGCGAGUGGCGAACGGGUGAGUAAUGCAUCGGAACGUGCCCUGAAGUGGGGGAUAACGUAGCGAAAGUUACGCUAAUACCGCAUAUUCUGUGAGCAGGAAAGCAGGGGAUCGCAAGACCUUGCGCUUUAGGAGCGGCCGAUGUCGGAUUAGCUAGUUGGUGAGGUAAAGGCUCACCAAGGCAACGAUCCGUAGCGGGUCUGAGAGGAUGAUCCGCCACACUGGAACUGAGACACGGUCCAGACUCC
rnacentral:rRNA from 1 species